ensembl:snoRNA SNORA70 Small nucleolar RNA SNORA70
CAUCAACAAAAGAACAAAAAAUAUGCUCUUUUCCUCAUGGUGGCCUGGUGUGCAAUGGCUGCAAAUAGCAGCCACCUGGUAGUAUAUGCAGCCUGUUGCUUAUAUAGGUUGUCCUAAGGGACCUUGGAAACAGCC